CACGCCGUAAACGGUGGGCGCUAGGUGUGGGGAACAUUCCACGUUCUCCGUGCCGCAGCUAACGCAUUAAGCGCCCCGCCUGGGGAGUACGGCCGCAAGGCUAAAACUCAAAGGAAUUGACGGGGGCCCGCACAAGCGGCGGAGCAUGCGGCUUAAUUCGAUGCAACGCGAAGAACCUUACCUAGGCUUGACAGUUGGGGAAAUCUGGCAGAGAUGUCAGGUCCGCAAGGGCACCAAAACAGGUGG
rnacentral:rRNA from 1 species